AGAUUGAUAUUUCACCCAUUCUUGAGAGUCGGGACAAAACAUGUCCUACAUAGAAAAGUCUAAUUUAUUCAAAACAAUUAAGAAAUUCUAAAUGUUUGACAUACUCAAAAAGUUAAAUCUAAUGGAUUUGUGUAUACCAAUCCUAUUUUUUAGCACAGAUAUUUACUUUUUUGGGGGAUAUUUGUUUAAAUGAAACGUCUGUGGUUAGAAGGUCCAUGUUAUUGCUUGUGUCCUCAGCAAGAGGUCACAAUAUUGACCAGCCCCAAAAAACUUUAAAAAACUCUAUAAUUGUGAAAACAUAUACAUCAAAUAAAAAUUCAGGGCUAUAAAUAUAUAAACAAUGAAUGGCCUGAACAUCAAAUAGCUUUUUGCCUAAAAAUCUGCCUAUCAAAGUUGUGUCCUCAGUUUCUGUCAACUCCAUCAGAUUAUUCUAUAAACCUCAUUAAAUCAUGCAAUAUCAUGGUCAGCUAUAUCCCUGAGGACCCCUUUUCAUUUCCUGCUUCUGGUGAAUGCAACACCACCACACAUGGUCUGGUAAGUUUUACAGUUUUUGAUAUUUUAGACAAACAAUGUCAAUAUUUGUAUGGUCACAGCUGGACCAUGUCAACACCGUCUCUCCAUUAUUAUACUUUUUUUUAAACCAUAGUGAGUUCAAUUAAAGUAUUUUAGUGAGAUUAUCAGGACAGCUAGCAACUGCCA
rnacentral:lncRNA from 1 species